CCUACGGGUGGCAGCAGUCGAGAAUCAUUCACAAUGGGGGAAACCCUGAUCGUGCGACGCCGCGUGGGGGAAUGAAGGUCUUCGGAUUGUAAACCCCUGUCAUGUGGGAGCAAAUUAAAAAGAUAGUACCACAAGAGGAAGAGACGGCUAACUCCGUGCCAGGAGCCGCGGUAAUACAGAGGUCUCAAGCGUUGUUCGGAAUCACUGGGCGUAAAGCGUGCGUAGGCAGUUUCGUAAGUCGUGUGUGAAAGGCGCGGGCUCGACCCGCGGACGGCACAUGAUACUGCGAGACUAGAGUAGUGGAGAAGGAACCGGAAUUCUCGGUGUAGCAGUGAAAUGCGUAGAUAUCGAGAGGAACACUCGUGGCGAAGGCGGGUUCCUGGACAUUAACUGACGCUGAGGCACGAAGGCCAGGGGAGCGAAAGGGAUUAGAUACCCCUGUAGUC
rnacentral:rRNA from 1 species